UUUUAUUUUAUGUCCAGUGACUAUCAGUGAUCAUGUCUCUCAGUUCAGAAAACAUCCAGACUUGCUCAUUUGCUUCGUGAGACAAGCAUUUGAUUAGGCUAGUGACCCAGAACAUCAAAGCAGUAAUGUGACUGAAGUCCCCCACAGACUAUCAUCAGUUCAUCCACAGGCCUCGCAAUCUAACCUCUGCAGAAUCAAAAUCAGUUACGUCUUUGUGAUUUUCAAGGGACAGAAGCCUACAGAGAAAACAUCAAACUGGUUUAAGAUGAAGCAGCCCCUCAUCCAGUCUUCAACUGUAUCAAGUUGUGGGUGCUUUUUGAGGACUGUAAAACACAGGGAACCAGGAAGGUACACAAUAAGCUUACUUGGGGCUCCACCCCAGCUUCCAGCAGUCAGGUGACAUUUUGCCUCUUCCUGCCUGCCAAAUACAGCGAACAGGUCUGUAGAUGUGGACUCUCAACCAUGUUCCCAGGUAUGCUACUGGCUCUGGGCAGCUUACUUCCUAUCAAGGUCCACCUUUACCAUCUCUGGUAGUAAAAUGUGUGUUUUUCACUGAUUCUGUUUCCAGGACUCUGGACUUACUCGAUGCACAGGAAGAAUAAAGUGGAGUAUUGUAUUAGCCAAACAAUGGAGGUUAAAUCUUUGGGUUGGAUGCCAGAAAGUUACCAGUCCCACCAGCACUCCUGACACUGACAUCUAGGUCCUGAAUAAGACUUAAAAUGCCUAUUGCUGACCAGAUAAAAUAUAUAUGGGCAAUAUUCAUUCUCAUAUUUCCUCACAGAGCCCCAGCGCGCCGCUGAGGGGACGGGGAGCUUCCUCCCGCCUGCGGGGUCGGGUCCGGGAGGACCGAGGGAAGGAGACGGCUCGGGGCAUCCCGGGGAGGCAUCCCGGCGCGGUCCGCGUCCCGCCUCGGGCAUGGGCCGGCCCGCCUGAGAGCCUGCCGCUGCCCGGAGCGCCGGUGGCCCAGGAGGGGCAGCGGCCGCCCGGCCCGGGAAGAUGCGCUCGGCGGGGUGGGCGGCCGGCCUCCUGCUGCUCUGCGGGGGUGAGUACCGGGCGGGCAGCCCGCCCUCGGGAGCGGUGCGCGGCUUUGGAGCGGUGCCCCCGGCUGCUCGGGCCGGCUCCGGAAACCUUUCCCCGCAUAUAA
rnacentral:lncRNA from 1 species